GGGCGGUUAGCUCAGUGGUAGAGCACUACCUUGACAUGGUAGGGGUCACAGGUUCGAACCCUGUACCGCCCA
rnacentral:tRNA from 1 species